AACGAACGCUGGCGGCAGGCCUAACACAUGCAAGUCGAGCGCCCCGCCAGGGGAGCGGCGGACGGGUGAGUAACGCGUGGGAACGUACCCUUUGCUACGGAAUAGCCUCGGGAAACUGGGAGUAAUACCGUAUGUGUCCUUCGGGAGAAAGAUUUAUCGGCAAGGGAUCGGCCCGCGUUGGAUUAGGUAGUUGGUGGGGUAAUGGCCUACCAAGCCGACGAUCCAUAGCUGGUUUGAGAGGAUGAUCAGCCACACUGGGACUGAGACACGGCCCAGACUCCUACGGGUGGCAGCAGUGGGGAAUCUUAGACAAUGGGCGCAAGCCUGAUCUAGCCAUGCCGCGUGAGCGAUGAAGGCCUUAGGGUUGUAAAGCUCUUUCAGGGGGGAAGAUAAUGACUGUACCCCCAGAAGAAGCCCCGGCUAACUCCGUG
rnacentral:rRNA from 1 species